rnacentral:lncRNA from 1 species
GAACAAGUUAAAUUAUUUUUUAUAUUUAAUUAAUUAAUUAAUAUAUUUUUAUUAUAUUAUAUAAUAUUUAUAGCUAAUAAAUUUAUUAAUUUAUUUUUAAUUAUUAUUUUGAUGUUAAUUAAUUAGAUAAAAUUUUAAUUUAAAAUUAUAAUUCUUAUUCCUUCUGUUCCAAUCUAAUCAUUCAAAUACUAUUACCUUAUUUCCAAGACCAAUCCAAUUUUCACUCAAAUACAAAAUUGGUUUAGUUUCUGCUNAUAGUUACAGGAUUCCGUAUUUUAUUUAGACCAAAAUCAUAGAAUAAAAAUUUCAUGGAGUUUUUUAACUAUCCAUCCAAACAUGGCCUCAGUGUAUGUUGAUGUGGUAUGAAAAG